rnacentral:lncRNA from 1 species
AACUUGGACUUAACUAUAGGGCUAGCUCUCACUCAGACUUCUUCCGCCAACUCGGCCGAGUCAAGACUACAACAACCAGUCUCUUCUUGCCAGUUAUUCGGUAGUGUGUUAACUCGGCCCGUUUGUCUGUGUUGGCAAUUGGAUGGUGAAAGAAGGGAAUUGUGUAGGAAUUGCCAGAAUCAGAAUCAGAAUCAGAGCUCAAAAAGUAAUCAUAGUAAAUAAUGGGCUAUAUUAUAGAUGUUAUUAGUACUGUCAGUAGAUUUGAUCUUGGUUCCUUUGGUUAGAUGUGAAAUAAAUGCUUUUGUUUAGGUACCGUACCAAC